rnacentral:rRNA from 1 species
CCUACGGGAGGCAGCAGUGAGGAAUAUUGGUCAAUGGGCGGAAGCCUGAUGCAGCGACGCCGCGUGAGUGAAGAAGUAUUUCGGUAUGUAAAGCUCUAACAGCAGGGAAGAAAAUGACGGUACCUGAUUAAGAAGCCCCGGCUAACUACGUGCCAGCAGCCGCGGUAAUACGUAGGGGGCAAGCGUUAUCCGGAUUUACUGGGUGUAAAGGGAGCGUAGACGGCAGCACAAGUCUGGAGUGAAAUGCCGGUGUUUAACCCCGGAACUGCUUUGGAAACUGUGCAGCUAGAGUGCAGGAGAGGUAAGUGGAAUUCCUAGUGUAGCGGUGAAAUGCGUAGAUAUUAGGAGGAACACCAGUGGCGAAGGCGGCUUACUGGACUGUAACUGACGUUGAGGCUCGAAAGCGUGGGGAGCAAACAGGAUUAGAUACCCUUGUAGUC